rnacentral:rRNA from 1 species
CAGGAUGGACCCGCGUCUGAUUAGCUAGUUGGUAAGGUAACGGCUUACCAAGGCGACGAUCAGUAGCCGACCUGAGAGGGUGAUCGGCCACAUUGGAACUGAGACACGGUCCAAACUCCUACGGGAGGCAGCAGUGGGGAAUAUUGCACAAUGGGCGAAAGCCUGAUGCAGCAACGCCGCGUGAGUGAUGAAGGCCUUCGGGUCGUAAAACUCUGUCCUCAAGGAAGAUAAUGACGGUACUUGAGGAGGAAGCCCCGGCUAACUACGUGCCAGCAGCCGCGGUAAUACGUAGGGGGCUAGCGUUAUCCGGAUUUACUGGGCGUAAAGGGUGCGUAGGCGGUCUUUCAAGUCAGGAGUGAAAGGCUACGGCUCAACCGUAGUAAGCUCUUGAAACUGGGAGACUUGAGUGCAGGAGAGGAGAGUGGAAUUCCUAGUGUAGCGGUGAAAUGCGUAGAUAUUAGGAGGAACACCAGUUGCGAAGGCGGCUCUCUGGACUGUAACUGACGCUGAGGCACGAAAGC